rnacentral:rRNA from 1 species
GAUGAACGCUGGCGGCGUGCCUAAUACAUGCAAGUCGUACGGAAAGGCCCUUCGGGGUACUCGAGUGGCGGACGGCUGAGUAACGCGUGGGAACGUGCCCCAAAGUGAGGGAUAACGCACCGAAAGGUGUGCUAAUACCGCAUAUGGUCUUCGGAUUAAAGCUUCGGCGCUUUGGGAGCGGCCCGCGUACGAUUAGAUAGUUGGUGAGGUAAUGGCUCACCAAGUCGACGAUCGUUAGCUGGUCUGAGAGGAUGAUCAGCCAGACUGGGACUGAGACACGGCCCAGACUCCUACGGGAGGCAGCAGUAAGGAAUCUGUCAUAAUGGGGGCAACCCUGAUGGAGCAACGCCGCGUGCAGGAUGAAGGUUUUCGGAUCGUAAACUGCUUUUAUAAGUGAAGAAUAUGACGGUAACUUAUGAAUAAGGAUCGGCUAACUACGUGCCAGCCGCCGCGGUAA